GAUGAAGAACGUAGCGAAAUGCGAUAAGUAAUGUGAAUUGCAGAAUUCAGUGAAUCAUCGAAUCUUUGAACGCACCUUGCGCUCCUUGGCAUUCUGAGGAGCAUGCCUGUUUGAGUGUCAUUAAAUUCUCAAGACCUGUCUGCUUUUUUGAUAGGUAUUGGAUUUUGGGGGUUGCAGGCUGUUUCAAAUAAAUAGCCUUGCUCUCCUUGAAUGUAUUAGUGGAGAAAAGCCAUUGAACUCCAUUGGUGUGAUAAAACCUAUCAAUGCCAGGAGCAAUAUCACUACUUCUCUCUGCUGUCUAACUGUGACUGUCUGUAUUAAUUAGUAUGGAUGGGGACAACUUGACCAACUUGACCUCAAAUCAGGUAGGACUACCCGCUGAACUUAAGCAUAUCAAUAAGCGGAGGA
rnacentral:misc_RNA from 1 species